rnacentral:antisense_RNA from 1 species
ACCGACAUCAGGGAUUCAUUCUGGGAGCCGUUACCGACCGCCAGAUAAGAGUGCAUCCCCAGCUCUUUCAUCUGCUGUUCGCCGAUGACGCGGGUAAUGACAUUUUUGCUGUAGGCGUCGGCCAGCUGACGCGCCUGAGAAGCCAGGUACGCGGCGUUACAAAUGUUUGGCGGCAUGUUACCCAGGUCUUUGG